UUCGGUAUCCUGUGUUGCUUACCUAUCGAAAGGAAUCCGAUGGUUUCGUUAGUCCCUUUCCGCCCCCUGCCCUCACGGGUUUUGGGGUGGACAUCAGGCAAGCCUCGUGUUCCCGGCAUGCUUCGCCCAGCUGCGUCGCUGCCUCGGCCCAUGAGGUGCAUUGCCCGUGCUCUCGGAUGCAGAAUGUUAUGUGCGGGUGCGGGGUCUAUCUAUUAGCUCCGUUUGCCCAAGCAACGCAUUUGUCUUACGACACGAACGACUGCCGUGCCCGUCUUGAGCCCACGGCCGUACGGCCUGCCGGGUCUCAUGCGGGCGUCGG
rnacentral:misc_RNA from 1 species